UGCCCCUUGGCCAAGCGGUAAGGCGACGGCUUCUGGUGCCGUUAUGCGCUGGUUCGAAUCCAGCAGGGGCAAUCA
rnacentral:tRNA from 1 species